rnacentral:rRNA from 1 species
UACGUAGGUGGCAAGCGUUGUCCGGAUUUACUGGGCGUAAAGGGAGCGUAGGCGGAUACUUAAGUGGGAUGUGAAAUACCUGGGCUUAACUUGGGUGCUGCAUUCCAAACUGGGUGUCUAGAGUGUUGGAGAGGAAAGUGGAAUUCCUAGUGUAGCGGUGAAAUGCGUAGAGAUUAGGAAGAACACCAGUGGCGAAGGCGACUUUCUGGACAAUAACUGACGCUGAGGCUCGAAAGCGUGGGGAGCAAACAGGAUUAGAUACCCUGGUAGUCCACGCCGUAAACGAGGGGUACUAGGUGUAGGAGGGAUCGACUCCUCCUGUGCCGCCGUUAACACAAUAAGUACCCCGCCUGGGGAGUACGGUCGCAAGAUUAAA